rnacentral:rRNA from 1 species
AUGAACGCUAGCUACAGGCUUAACACAUGCAAGUCGAGGGGCAGCAUGGUCUUAGCUUGCUAAGGCCGAUGGCGACCGGCGCACGGGUGAGUAACACGUAUCCAACCUGCCGUCUACUCUUGGACAGCCUUCUGAAAGGAAGAUUAAUACAAGAUGGCAUCAUGAGUCCGCAUGUUCACAUGAUUAAAGGUAUUCCGGUAGACGAUGGGGAUGCGUUCCAUUAGAUAGUAGGCGGGGUAACGGCCCACCUAGUCUUCGAUGGAUAGGGGUUCUGAGAGGAAGGUCCCCCACAUUGGAACUGAGACACGGUCCAAACUCCUACGGGAGGCAGCAGUGAGGAAUAUUGGUCAAUGGGCGAGAGCCUGAACCAGCCAAGUAGCGUGAAGGAUGACUGCCCUAUGGGUUGUAAACUUCUUUUAUAAAGGAAUAAAGUCGGGUAUGGAUACCCGUUUGCAUGUACUUUAUGAAUAGGGAUCGGCUAACUCCGUGCCAGCAGCCGCGGUAAUACGGAGGAUCCGAGCGUUAUCCGGAUUUAUUGGGUUUAAAGGGAGCGUAGAUGGAUGUUUAAGUCAGUUGUGAAAGUUUGCGGCUCAACCGUAAAAUUGCAGUUGAUACUGGAUAUCUUGAGUGCAGUUGAGGCAGGCGGAAUUCGUGGUGUAGCGGUGAAAUGCUUAGAUAUCACGAAGAACUCCGAUUGCGAAGGCAGCCUGCUAAGCUGCAACUGACAUUGAGGCUCGAAAGUGUGGGUAUCAAACAGGAUUAGAUACCCUGGUAGUCCACACGGUAAACGAUGAAUACUCGCUGUUUGCGAUAUACUGCAAGCGGCCAAGCGAAAGCGUUAAGUAUUCCACCUGGGGAGUACGCCGGCAACGGUGAAACUCAAAGGAAUUGACGGGGGCCCGCACAAGCGGAGGAACAUGUGGUUUAAUUCGAUGAUACGCGAGGAACCUUACCCGGGCUUAAAUUGCAGAUGAAUUACGGUGAAAGCCGUAAGCCGCAAGGCAUCUGUGAAGGUGCUGCAUGGUUGUCGUCAGCUCGUGCCGUGAGGUGUCGGCUUAAGUGCCAUAACGAGCGCAACCCUUGUUGUCAGUUACUAACAGGUUCUGCUGAGGACUCUGACAAGACUGCCAUCGUAAGAUGUGAGGAAGGUGGGGAUGACGUCAAAUCAGCACGGCCCUUACGUCCGGGGCUACACACGUGUUACAAUGGGGGGUACAGAGGGCCGCUACCACGCGAGUGGAUGCCAAUCCCAAAAACCUCUCUCAGUUCGGACUGGAGUCUGCAACCCGACUCCACGAAGCUGGAUUCGCUAGUAAUCGCGCAUCAGCCACGGCGCGGUGAAUACGUUCCCGGGCCUUGUACACACCGCCCGUCAAGCCAUGGGAGCCGGGGGUACCUGAAGUGCGUAACCGCGAGGAGCGCCCUAGGGUAAAACUGGUGACUGGGGCU